rnacentral:rRNA from 1 species
GACGAACGCUGGCGGCGUGCUUAACACAUGCAAGUCGAACGGAAAGGCCCUGCUUUUGUGGGGUGCUCGAGUGGCGAACGGGUGAGUAACACGUGUGUAACCUGCCCUUGACUUUGGGAUAACUUCAGGAAACUGGGGCUAAUACCGGAUAGGAGCUCCUGCUGCAUGGUGGGGGUUGGAAAGUUUCGGCGGUUGGGGAUGGACUCGCGGCUUAUCAGCUUGUUGGUGGGGUAGUGGCUUACCAAGGCUUUGACGGGUAGCCGGCCUGAGAGGGUGACCGGCCACAUUGGGACUGAGAUACGGCGCAGACUCCUACGGGAGGCAGCAGUGGGGAAUAUUGCACAAUGGGCGGAAGCCUGAUGCAGCAACGCCGCGUGCGGGAUGACGGCCUUCGGGUUGUAAACCGCUUUCGCCUGUGACGAAGCGUGAGUGACGGUAAUGGGUAAAGAAGCACCGGCUAACUACGUG